GUGUUCCUGCCCGGUGCGUUUGGUUUUCGCAACCCUGGGGCCAAUGCUGAUCUCUAGGGAGCUGUCCCUGGCCGGAGCCGAGGCUUCGGGCACACGGCGCCCACCUGGUACGCCAGGCCUACAGAGGUUGGAUACAUGCCGACGGCCAUGGCGGGCACCGU
rnacentral:other from 1 species